rnacentral:rRNA from 1 species
GGGCCCGCACAAGCGGUGGAGCAUGUGGUUUAAUUCGAUGAUACGCGAGGAACCUUACCUAGGCUUAAAUGUAGAUUGACUUAUUGGGAAACCAGUAUUUCUUCGGACAAUCUACAAGGUGCUGCAUGGUUGUCGUCAGCUCGUGCCGUGAGGUGUCGGGUUAAGUCCCAUAACGAGCGCAACCCUAUCAUUAGUUGCUAACAUUAGUUGAGGACUCUAAUGAAACUGCCCGCGUAAGCGGUGAGAAGGUGGGAUGACGUCAAAAUCAUCACGGCCCUUACGUCUAGGGCUACACACGUGCUACAAUGGUAACUACAGAGGGAAGCUAGCUGGUGACAGUAAGCAAUCCUUAAAUGUACUCAG